ensembl:lncRNA
AUUUUCGUUGCCACCAGUGCCCGCGGUGCAAUGCGGGCCUGGCUGGCAGGCUCGGGGGAAAGGACCCAUCUGUUGUAUGAGAUUAUUUCAAACCACAGACAACACAGGAUGUCACCUGUUUCGAGAGACUCAGGGUAGGAGGCAUUACGAGCAGGAAGGCUGGGACAGUGACACGUCAUCUGUUUUGGUUCUUGUCCACCUUCUACCUUCAUCACCAAAUGGCCGCAAGAGACCAGGAAAACUUUCAGCCAGACAAGCCAGUAACCAUCUCGUGAAAUUUGUUAUGACCGGGACGAGCAUCCAGGAGCAUCUGGACAGCAUCACUAAAAGUCUUCAACCCUACCUGCUAGAUGUGGGGACCCAGAAGAGUCUGAUUCACAAGUACUACAUUGUGAUUGACAAACAUGUAAUACCGUGUAAGUCAGCAGACACACUUUCCAGUUUUGAUGAGCUUUUCAAAGCUCAUUUUGUCUUUGGUACGUCGUACAACCAGGAUCUGGUAAACGUGUACAACUUCUUGCAAACCACAAUUUAUGAAAUGGAUGAUGAUACCACGAAGGUGAAUCCAAGAGUUGCAGAGUUGAGAGCUCGGAUGCUUCAUUACAUUGAUACAAAGCUGGUUGGUCUCAAAAGCCUUGAGGCUUCAUUGAGUUGAAAUUAAGAAGUUGUGUUUUUUUUUGCAAAAGUCUCCAUGCAAAUGCUAAUUCCCUAACAAAACACUUGAAGUUGAUACACAGACUUUGUUCAGGAAAGACCCGUCGUCUUAAAUGUGGUUGGGCUGGUUGUUCAGAAGUUUAUGGCACUUUUUCUGGGUUUCGAAAGCAUCUUAAUAAAAGCACAUGAACAGUGUUCUCAUCCUGGUGAAGGCCCAUCUACAUCUGAUCAUUUAGCCGCAAGUCAUUUUGAUGAAUUGGCAGCAAAAAGUUCACUUUCUGAUUCAGUCCUAAAAAGGAGUCUCGUAGACAGCUGUGCUGCAACAGUAGCCGAACUUAAAGUGGCAGGCGUACAAGAAACCACCAUUAACUCUUUGGUCAUUUCAAUGGGAGAUUAUUGAUGAUAUCCAUAACCCGGCAAACAAAUCUGUGAAGAAGUGUCUGUCUUUACCAGAGCCUAUGAAAAGUGAGAUUGAGAGCAAAAUUGAUUAGUGUUUUGAAAAAAUGGAAAAUCCUUUUGGUGUGUUAAAUUCUGAGAGGAAAAAGAAGCACUUUUUUACACAAAAGUGGGGAGGGGUGUGAUUGCCGAUGUGCUGGUAGUUAUUUGUGAUGGCAUUCUUCUACUGUUGGACAGUACAAUGUUGAGUUAAACAUGAUAUGGAUGUUUUUUUGAUUUAUUGUGAAAUAAACCCCUCUUGUGGUGACGAAGUCCUUCUUUUAUAGUUUAUUCAUUUGUUACUCCCCAGCUGUCCUAGACAUCAGUCGAGGGACGUAACAGUGAAAUCAUGGAGUAAAAAAAAAA